ACUGCGCCCCAGCGAAUAUGUCCUCUGAAGACCUGCCUUGCUUCAGCCUCAUCCGAGAAUACUUCUCGGAUGAGGAAUGGAGCGCCAUGUCAUUCUACGUGAAGUCAAGGAUGACCAAUCUCAAGGAAAACUACGAUCUUCUCCUAGGAAUGGAUUCAAGCUGGCAAGCGUGUGCAGUUUGACCUACUGGAAAGAGACCAAGCCGCCCUCCGAGAAAUAUUACCACAACGGCACUUCGGCAUCCUGCCCUGCAACCGCGACUUGACUGCGUCUGAAAGAAAAUCUCUUCUGAAGAUCUGCCUCGCUUCAUGAACUGUUGAGAGACCCUUCAGACGGCUGAUGGGUAAAGGCUGGCUUCCCAAGGACUGACGACGAGGAAGAGUGGUGCAUGGAUGGCUUAAAGAAAACACUCGUGCAAGGGUGCCUGCAACCCACAGAAAAACGGACAAGUAGAAAGAGUAGUCAAGAUAUUGGUUCCUGUAGUUGUUGCAUCCAUGCAAAAUGGAUCUCACGACGAUUUGGAUGCGAGAAAAGGAGAUUCAUAUUAAAAAUAGCGCAAAGAAAAGGAGGUCCGGCGUGA